rnacentral:rRNA from 1 species
ACGGGAGGCAGCAGUGAGGAAUAUUGGUCAAUGGUCGGAAGACUGAACCAGCCAAGUCGCGUGCAGGAAGACGGUCCUAUGGAUUGUAAACUGCUUUUGUACGGGAAUAAAGUGCGGGACGUGUCCCGUUUGGAAUGUACCGUAAGAAUAAGGGUCGGCUAACUCCGUGCCAGCAGCCGCGGUAAUACGGAGGACCCGAGCGUUAUCCGGAUUUAUUGGGUUUAAAGGGUGCGCAGGCGGAGGAUUAAGUCAGCGGUGAAAUUCUCAUGCUCAACAUGAGAACUGCCAUUGAUACUGGUCCCCUUGAGAGAUGUCGAGGAUGGCGGAAUGUGAUGUGUAGCGGUGAAAUGCUUAGAUAUGUCACAGAACCCCGAUUGCGAAGGCAGCUUACCAGCAUACAACUGACGCUGAGGCACGAAAGUGCGGGGAUCAAACAGGAUUAGAUACCCUGGUA